GCGAAUAAGUAACAAACUUGAAAAAUACCAGAUAUAAGGUCACUGAAGCCAUAUAUGAUAUAUUCCCUUGAUACUUUAUAUUCAAGUCCUUGUUUGCAAAUUGUAAUAAACUAGGCCAGGUGCGAUGGAUUUGAAGCUAAGAGUUUUGGCUUGCUUAUCUAGACUAUUCCCGUUUAGCUUAGUCUACAAGAAAAUGACCAUUGACCCCAUAUAUAUAUAUAUACAUGCAUGAUAUAUGCUAUGAAUCAAAAAAUCAUUGCUAUAACAUAUAAAGUUGAUGACAUAGCUAUAGCGACGAUUCGAACCGUCGUUAUAGCUGAUUCGCUUUUGAUUCUGUUUAAAGUUCGUUGGAGAAUGGAACUAUAUAUAUAUAGUCUGGAUCUUAAGCUCACCUCUUAUCCAACUCAUCCGAGCUCACCUCACUUUAGCGACGGACCCGACGACGCCGGGUCCGUUACUAAAAAGAGGUGAGCUCGGAUGAAU
rnacentral:lncRNA from 1 species